GUCCACGCCGUAAACGAUGGAUACUAGCUGUUGGGUUGCAAGACUCAGUGGCUAAGCGAAAGUGAUAAGUAUCCCACCUGGGGAGUACGUUCGCAAGAAUGAAACUCAAAGGAAUUGACGGGGGCCCGCACAAGCGGUGGAGCAUGUGGUUUAAUUCGAUGAUACGCGAGGAACCUUACCAAGGCUUAAAUGUAGAUUGACCGGUUUGGAAACAGAUCUUUCGCAAGACAAUUUACAAGGUGCUGCAUGGUUGUCGU
rnacentral:rRNA from 1 species